rnacentral:lncRNA from 1 species
UCUGAUCAAGUUUGUUACAAAAAUGUUCAAGUCAAACAUGUUUGCAUCACAUGAACCUACUCAAUCGUAGUGUGUAUGAGUGUUCUGCUACCAAAUGCCAGAAGGCACAUAAUUGUUUAUAAAUCGUGGUACAUCCGACCAGGAGUGGUAAUUGCAAGGAAAAAAAUUAAAAUAUGAACAGACACCUUCCUUGAUACAGAAUUCUCGCAUAACUCCAUACAGCUCACUGUUUGACGAACUAAAUGCGAAAAAAAAAACAGAUUGAAGAAGGGAUGCAAGCAAGUGAGUGCCAUCCAUCAUUUUAGCAGCAAAUCUCUGAGCUGAAAAGGUACGGAAAUGGUGGAAUUUCAUCUUUUUCAGCCAACCCUUCCUUCCUAGUAACAUAAUUCUCCCAUCGGAACCCAGAGGGGCCAAUUUAAAGGCAUAGGUGCUAGGAGGGUCCCUAACUUUUGACCUUGCAGCAUAAAAAGUUGCUUUGUAAGAGAUCAGUCCAAGAAAAGGGGUUAGGAUUGAAUUUUGUAUACAUAUAACUAAAAGCUAAUAAUGUUCAGUUCAAUACUUGCAGGCUGCAGCAGCUUCAGAGUACAAUAUAAAAGGUUCAAUACUUGAGAAAUUUUUAAGAGUAAGAGAAAUCCACUACAUCUGACAUUAUUCUACAUUCCCCUCCAAAGCCAUUUUGCAUACUGUACCAAAUGGCUUAUGCUAAUCAUUAAAUCUGAGGCCUCCGUAGUGUAUUAAUGGCCAUACCAAAACUUGCAUCAUCAUAUUCAUUGUCAUUAGUCUUUUAAUUCCUUCAGCUUUAAAUGUCAAAAAUGGGUUGGCCAAGGUCGGCGGCCAGCCGUGUAGGUCUUUUGCCCUUUCUUUCUUACUUAAUAAAAGGAACAAGUUUUCUCAUCUAAAUAUGCAGAUAAUCUUUUAUAGAACAAAAGUGUUAACCUAUGCAGUCAAAGCAUUUACUUGCAUGAGAGAAAUAUCACUAUGCCUUUUUGACAACUAUUUACACAGAUAAGCAAUAAGAGAGAGAGAGAGAGAGAGCUUCCCUAUCAUGACUUGAAUUCAAUCUACUAACAGUCGGAGUCUAAUGCUAGUUGUUUUCUACAUGAUCAGCGUCAAACAACCUUGUUACGUUAAGAGUAUAAGUCAAUAUGUCAUGUAACAGUAACACAGUUUUAACACUAUUACUUAAGUUAGAUGUGUUAUGUUUAUCAAACUUAAGUAAGAAUAUGAACAACUACUUAACAUUAGCCUUGCGAGAUGAACUUGUAAAGAGGAAAGUGGGAGAGAUCAGCUCAACAUAUUUGUUACCAUGUUACCUUGGUUUAUAAAAGAUGCGUUUUACAAGAUUUUGCCAAUUGGAGCUCUAAAUGAUAAACCAGAGCUUGCCGACACUUGACUUCAAUAAGUUAGAAAUUAAACCCUUUAAAUACCAGAGACACAGAACAAAAGAAAGAAAAAGGGGCUACGUGGUGCCGGCGUGCAUUCCAUUGCGGCCAAUGUAUCUGUUUUGGAUGACAAAUGUCCUCCCAUUCACUUCUAUGAACAAAAUAAGACUUGCACUUUAAGGGAAAUAAUAUUAGUAUAAGAGGUCCACCUUGGCAAAAGUAGCAGCCCCUCUUAACACUGUUAAAAGAAAGGGAAGGCGGGACAUGUGAUCAUAAUCACUAUAUUAUGUUUAUUUCUGAAGGGUGUACUUUUUCAAAUUUGCAUUUAGGUGUUUUCCUUUCAGGUGAAUUCUUUACAAUCUAUAUUUGGUUUGGUUUGGUUUGGUGAGAGGAAUGUGCUAAACUAAGUGUUGCAAUUAGAGCUGAGAUGGGGAACAGUAACACCUCUGGGUUUCAAGGUAUGUAAUUAUGGCAGGGGAUUCCUUUAUUUUUUCCUAUUUUUCAUACUUGUUUCCUCUCUGGUUGGCUCAUGAAUGGUGGCUGAAGAUGCAGCAGAAGAAAAUUCUAACACAAAGAUUGAAGGAACUCAACCAAAAUCUGUGCAAGAACAUGAUGAGCAAGAAGGUACAAGAGGACACUUUGUUGAUCAAAGUGAAGGAAGUGAUGAAAAUGGAGGAAGAAUGUUAGGUUCUGAGGAUCCAAAGGAAGAGGAGGGAGCAAAAGCCCGGAAUCGAGAUGGAAAAGGUUCGGUUUGCUAAUAUACCUAAUGACAACAACUUUAUUUUGGUAUAAAGUUGUGUUGAUUAGUUUAUCCUGGCAAUCAAUAUUUUUUCAGUUGUUUCAGAGCAAGAGAAUGAUAGGCUGGAGAGCCAAGUUCAUGAUCUUAUGUCUGUCGAAUCUGAGGAACCAAAGCCCGAAUAUGAAGAAGAAAGAAGUAAAGACAGUAAUCCUCAACUAAAUAUUGUGAGGCAACAAACAGAAGAAAACAAGUCUGAUUCUAUGGAACAACCAGAAUCUAGUAAGCCAGGUUAACCAACUAAACUUCACAAUCCAUGAACAAUCAUUUCUUCUUAAACGAAUCAAUACGAUCAUUAGUUUUGAGCAGGAAGAAUGAAGCUUACCUAUUUAUCUGCAGCAGAGGAGGUGGAGGAGACGUUGAGCUCAGGUUCAACUGUUAGAUCCCAUGCACAUGAUGAGCAAGAACAUCAAGGUUCUGAUGAAGUAGAAUCAAACCUGACUGAAAACCAAGGUAACUCAACUUCCACCAAUAUGGAGAGGUUGGAGAGCCAAGUUCACGAUCCUUUGCUAGCCGAAUCUAAGAAGCCAAACCUGGACUACAAUGGAGAUAGCAGCAAAUGUGGCAAUUCUCAACCGAAUUUAUUGAGGGAAGAGAUGGAAGAACGCAUAUCUGAUGUAGAUGAGCAGCAGGAACUGCAUAAGCCAGGUUAGCCUACUUAACUUCAUAAUCCAUGUCAUGAAGAACCAAUAAAUCUAUCUGACGAAAAAACUUCUACACUCUCUCCUUUCUAUCUGCAUCAGUGGAGGCAGAGAUGAGCAUAGGAUCAC